rnacentral:lncRNA from 10 species
ACUAUGAAAAUACUAGAAGGACACUAAGAAGGCUGAGUCUGAAAAGAGUCAGGGAAGGGAGAUAGGGGUGGGGCCAUUUUAUAGGAUUUGGGUAGGUAAAGGAAAAUUACAGUCAAAGGGGGUUGUUCUCUGGUUCGUCUAUACAGGAGCUCAAAUGGGCUGUACCUUGUAGCCUUCUGAGGACAGGCCUGAAUUCUGAGAAGGGAAAGUGGUAAAAGUAAAAUAUUAUUAAAAUAGUGUAAAAUAUGUCUUUUUUUAAGUGACUUUUAGGCAUAGACUCAAGGAAAUGAGA